GUUUUCAUGGUGUAACUCAACAUAUUAUAUUUUCAUUGUAAAGCUGAAACUUCUUUUCUGAAAACU
rnacentral:tRNA from 1 species